rnacentral:lncRNA from 1 species
CUGGGAUCCCCCACUGUAUAUUGUUGAGUGGGAUCCUUAGUUUUCUUCAGUCUGGGGACAGUUUCUGAAUCUUUCUUUGCCUUUCAUGAUUUUGACACUUGGGAAAAGUAUUGGUCACUUGGUAGGUGGACUUUUGGAUUUUCCUGGUUUUUCCUCAAGAUUAAAUUUAGCUUAUGCAAGAAUAUUACAGAAUCCAUGUUGCCUUCUUCUCAGUUCAGGAUAUCAGGGAGUACUUGGUGACAAUAUGUUUCAUUGCUGCUGAGAUGUAUCUUGAUCUUUGGCUACAGUUGGGUCUGCCAGGAUUCUCUCUUGUAAAGUUACUAUUUUUCCUUUGAAAUUAAAAAAUAUCUUGUGAAAAGAUACUUUGGCAGCCUGCAGAGGUCCUGCUUCUUACACUCCUUUUUAACCCUCUAAUUUUUAGCAUUUCUGAACGAUGCCUUCUGGAACACUUAUUACUGUGGGAUAUGCAUGUGGUGUUUUUCUGUUUCCUUUGUUCUUCUGCGUUUAUUAACUGGAACUUGGAUAAGGAGGAGCUAUACCUUCUCCUCCUUUGAUUUGUUAAUAAUUCAUGGCUAUUCAUUCUCUUCUAUGGAUUAGAAUUCACUACAGUCUGUAUUUUUGGUUGUUGUGAUUGUCCCAGAUUUGGUCAUUGGGAGAUCCUUUUACCAGGCUCCUGUGUCCUUCUGACACACCCUCAUCACUUUUUGAGCACUUCCUUAAUUUUUGGCACUACAUAGUAUUCCUAGAACAUUUUAUAUGUUCAUUGCCUCAGUCCCAGAAUAAACUGUCUCUCUCCAGGAAACCCCGGUUCCUUUUAUUGGAGAAUGAAGUUAGAAACCAAGAUAUGGGUGCUGGGUGAAAUUCCCUGCUACUGGGGUGUUAUUGCUUCUUAGCUCUCUGAAAGAACAGUGCUGUUUCCUAGAACAUAAACGACUCGCAUACAUGUACAUAUACACUCAUCUAUAUCAGUAUCUGUUUAUGUACUAAAGACAUGAGUUUAUUCUGACAUAUCAAGGUCAAGUUCACUACCACAGUGUGGAUGGAUUCUCACCGUUUCCUUGUAACUCCUCUCUCCCAGCAAUGGAAGGCCCGCCUCUCGUUAUCCAGAGUAUAUUUAUGAAUUUAUUCAAUCCUAGUAUGUGUGUGCAUGUAUGUAUGUAUAUUUAUGUAUACAUAUUCAAAAUUACUACCAUACUUCUUGAAUAGUAGAAAAUAUUCUAAGUAGAAUGCAGUAUAUGGAUACCUUUGUUUUUGUCUUUAAAGCCUUAUAUAUAGCUUAAAAUGCUGUUUUCCAGAGUUACUCAGUUCUUUUUUUUUUUUUUCCAGUUCCAUUUUGGGUCCCUGUCCCCUCACUCCCACUGGCCUUGAUUUUAGUUAUUUAUUAAUUUUUUUGAGAAAAUGAAAUAUUAGCCUUGUUCUAAAAGUCAGAACCAUACAAAAAGAUAUCCACAUAGAGGUGUCACUCCCCCCAUACCUUCUACCCCAUUGCCAUGCACGGGUCUUUCCUCGGUGCCCACCCAUCCCCUGUAGGGAGUUUCCGAUUUGUCUCAGCUGUGUGUCUUCAAUGCCAGAGAACAAAUGCAUCCACGGCCUCCCACAUCCCCUCCUUCCGUACGUGAUGGAUGAUGUCCUCUAAGUAUUAUUUGCCCUUUGCUAUUUUUGCUGCAUGGUUCAUCCUGGAAAUAUCAGUUCAUGGGGAUCAUCUCCAUUCCGUAGUCUUUAUUUUUCCAGUUCAGGUGUAACUUACCUACAGUAAAGUGCAGAGAUCCUAAGUGUACGGGCUGAUGGGUGUUCCAUGUGUUUACGCUUGCGUAAACAUUCCUCAGAUGACACUAUGGAAAAUUUCCAGCACCCUGGAGCUUCCCCUCCUGCCCUUUCUCAAUCGUCUCCUUGAAACCUUUGAGACCGGGGUGAUGAUUGUUCUCAUUCCUAUCCGCAUUGCUUAGUGUUGCCUGUACUUGGAGCCAAAAAACAGCAUCAUUUCCUUCUGGUUUUGCUUGUUCAACAGUAUGUUUACUCCACAUUCCUAUGAACUGAUAGAGGCCCAGCAAAGUAAGCCUGGGAUCUGAAUGCUUCAUCUUCUGUUAUCCUGCAGCAGGCUGAUGGAGGAGCACGGCUUGCAGGUGUUAGAGCAUCCUGCUCCCGGGUUUGCAGGAGAUUACGCCUU